UGGGGAAUUUUGGACAAUGGGCGAAAGCCUGAUCCAGCAAUGCCGCGUGUGUGAAGAAGGCCUUCGGGUUGUAAAGCACUUUUGUCCGGAAAGAAAUCCUUGGCUCUAAUACAGUCGGGGGAUGACGGUACCGGAAGAAUAAGCACCGGCUAACUACGUGCCAGCAGCCGCGGUAAUACGUAGGGUGCAAGCGUUAAUCGGAAUUACUGGGCGUAAAGCGUGCGCAGGCGGUUUGCUAAGACCGAUGUGAAAUCCCCGGGCUCAACCUGGGAACUGCAUUGGUGACUGGCAGGCUAGAGUAUGGCAGAGGGGGGUAGAAUUCCACGUGUAGCAGUGAAAUGCGUAGAGAUGUGGAGGAAUACCGAUGGCGAAGGCAGCCCCCUGGGCCAAUACUGACGCUCAUGCACGAAAGCGUGGGGGAGCAAACAGGAUUAGAUACCCUGGUAGUCCACGCCCUAAACGAUGUCAACUAGUUGUUGGGGGAUUCAUUUCCUUAGUAACGUAGCUAACGCGUGAAGUUGACCGCCUGGGGAGUACGGGUCGCAAGAUUAAAACUCAAAUGAAUUGACGGGGUCAUAGCUGUUUCC
rnacentral:rRNA from 1 species